rnacentral:rRNA from 1 species
UACGGAGGGGGCUAGCGUUGUUCGGAAUUACUGGGCGUAAAGCGCGCGUAGGCGGACCUGCAAGUCGGGUGUGAAAUCUCGGGGCUUAACUCCGAAACUGCAUUCGAUACUGCCGUGCUUGAGGACUGGAGAGGAGACUGGAAUUUACGGUGUAGCGGUGAAAUGCGUAGAUAUCGUAAGGAAGACCAGUGGCGAAGGCGGGUCUCUGGACAGUUCCUGACGCUGAGGCACGAAGGCCAGGGGAGCAAACGGG